GCGCCGGCUAAAAAUGGUCAGGAAGGAACAGAACAGAACAGAACAGAUAAUGAUGAGCUUCAUGUCGUUCGCAGUGGUUGGUUGGGUGUCGUUUUGGGGCUACACUCGAGACUGAGACGCUGAGACGCGCUAAAAGUGGGGAUAACAACAACUCUAAAGCAGAAGCCGCCCGGCUAAUUGUUUUCGUGCAUUGACCAGGACCAGCGGCAGAGUCAGAGCCAGAGCCAGAGCCAGAGGCUGGCCGAGACCCUCGGACACAAGGCCCUAUAGCAAGUUCAAUGCAUGGGAAACAAGUGAAACACCAGGAUCCGCCGUUGGCUCCUGUGGAAACAGGUUUACAGUCUCGCUGUCUGAGAUUUCUGCGUAAUUUCUCGACUUGUUAACACUUUUGGUCUGACUGACUCGCCAUCAUCGGCAGCGUCAUCGUCGGCGCUCUCUUGUAAUGAUCAUCAAUAAAAUUUAAUACUCAAUUAAACUGUUGA